rnacentral:sRNA from 1 species
AAUUUCUCUCAGAUAGUCAGCUAUUUUUUUUAUAACCUUUUUUUUGUCAGUUUUGUUGCAGUGGUGGUUUUAGUGCUUUUGUCAUGAUGUUAAAAAGAAAUGGAUAUUGUCAUUAUUAGUCAAUGGUGUGAAACCAUUCUUUGUGACUUGUUUUAUUUCAAAUGCACCUAUCACAAAAACCAGUGGGUCUAAAUUGUCAUGUUAAUGUACAUUUUUUCCUCGAUGGGUUGAUUAUCUGCUGAAAAAUCAGGGAAGAUGUACAUGAAUUAUGCAUAUGAUUAGGUUAUGAUCCCUACUGAUUCUUUUCUUUCUAAAUCAGCUUUUAGUUAUCAAAUUUGAAAUCAUAUCAGGAAUUUGUCAAUUAGUUAAGUUAACCCGAUACAAACUUUUCAGCUCAGCUUUGCUGAAAAUACAUGCAGUCAUUCCAUUCAAAUAAACACUUGUUGAAAUACUGUAAUAAUUUUUUUAUUAUGAAAUGUAUUUGAAUUCAUUUAAAUUUUUUUUUUUAGUGUAUUGUGCAAAUCAUGUAAAUAAUUAUAGACUUCUUCAGGUUUAAGUCUUUGAUAAUUAAACUGAUUGGUUUAUUAGUUGUUAAAAUAUCAUAUGAUUGUUUGAUUUAUGUCAUCCACUAAGUAUUUAAUCUUGAUAAUUUUCAUCUUGUUUAAGAAUUGAUAAAUUCCAUCACGAUACAUGUUGAAUGUAAAGAUGUUUUGUUUUGAAGCAGUUGUUUGACUUUAUUUCAAUAAAGUUCUUAAAAAG